rnacentral:lncRNA from 1 species
GAAAAUUUUUACAUUUUUUUUUACUCCAUUUUUUCCUCUCUGUGUUCCACUCAGCCUAAACCAUCCCUAAAAAUGUGCUUAUUUGGAUGAGAAAGACUCUUAAUGCUAUGGAAGUCUGUGUGGAAACCCAGAAGCAGAAGGUUGACCAGAGGCAGCACAGAUAGGGGUUAGUUAUAUUGACCCCUUGGCUCCUCACCCUUGACCCUAGAAGGGCUUAGUGGCAAAAGGAGAGUUUCCUGCAGGCCUGCGUUCAUCCUUCCUGUUAGCCGAACUGAAGGAAAAAUACAAUGUACUAAAAAGGAGCCCCACCCUCAUUCCUCUGCCCCAUCUACUUCUUUCAGAGAAAUUAAAGAAGGAAAAUAGCCAUAUCCAUCAACAACCCUGAGGAUUCCUGACAAAUGGCCCUGAGGUAUAUCACACCACAUCAUUGGAAACAGGGAACAGGGUUGGGUUUAGCCCGUAUCAUUGGUUUUAGCUGUAAUUACUGUGUGGAAAAUUGCAGUAUUUUCCUUGCUCUAGAUUGGAUCUUCCCCCCUCAUGAAUACUGUGCUGGUCAGUACUACAUCUUACAAUCUUUUGCUGAUGUAAUUUUCAAAGGUGGAAUAUAUGUAAUGAGGAAUUAAUGUCUGUUGAAAAUACAUCGAGAAUGAGCUGCUGGAAACUUGCAUGCUGUUACGUUAGAAUAUGCAGGCAAGCUGAUAUAAUGCAUGUUGGAACAGUCCGGAAUGAGACAAUACUAAAAAUAUUUAUUUUGGGACCUGAGGGUAAUUUCCUUUUGUCCUGUCUAGCCGUACCCAAGAACUCAGUGGAGAUCCUUAAGGAAAGUGUGACUGGCCAUGGGGAGAGACCUAAAGGUGGGAUUCCAUUCAGUUGAUAGCAGGCCCUCACUGUUUGCAUGAAGCAAAGUUCAAAGAGCUGAGCACAAGGAAGGAAAGCAGUUGCUGAACAAUGAUGAAUGGGAUCCAAUGGGAGACACAAAAUCAAGCAGCAGGGAGCAAUUACUUAGCCCACUCUAUGAAAUAGUCAGGCUUUCCCAGCUCCACCCAGACUUCCCCCAGGGCCUGUUAGAAUUUUCAUGUACCCUAGGAUGCUUUUGUCUUUGUGGGUCCCUUCCUUCAUUAAAACAACACUAAAAAUUUUUAGUAUUAAAUAUAUUUUUAGUAUAUAAUAUUUUAUGACUGUGUUGAUAUAAAAACACAAAUAUUAAUAUUAUAUGUUAAAAUAUAUUUUUUUGAACCUAGAAUUUUUUCUUCUGUUUUUUGAAACAAGUUAAACGUUUUUGUGGGCUCCUAAAAGCAUAACUUUUGGCACUAUGCCAACUGCCUAAAGGAUAAGUCAGCCCUAACUGGAGUGGGGUAAGUGAGGAGAGGACUAGCAGAAUUAAUUGGAAUAAUAGCAGGGGAACAGAUCACAUGGGGCCCUCUAGGUCAUAGUACAAUGAAAAGGAUGUUGGAGUUUAUUUUCAUAAGUAAGAUGGGACAUUUUUGAGGGUUGUAAACAGAGAAGUGAUAUGACGUGAAACAUUUUAAAGGGAUAGUUUCUUUUGCAGAGACUAUGCUAUAGGAGGUAAGGAAGAACAUCAUAGAGACCAGUUAGGAGGCCAUUCUGGUAACCCAGGAAAGAGAUGGUAUGGCUUGUCCUAAGGUGAUGAUAGAGGUGAUAAGAAGUGGACAGGUUCUGAAUAGAUAUUAAAGGUAAAGGCAAAAAGGAUUUGGUGGUGGAUUGGAUAUUGAAUGUGAUAGG